rnacentral:rRNA from 1 species
UACGGGGGGGGCAAGCGUUGUUCGGAAUUACUGGGCGUAAAGGGCUCGUAGGCGGCCAACUAAGUCGGAUGUGAAAUCCCCAGGCUUAACCUGGGAACUGCAUCCGAUACUGGAUGGCUUGAAUUCGGGAGAGGGAUGCAGAAUUCCAGGUGUAGCGGUGAAAUGCGUAGAUAUCGAGAGGAACACCUGCGGCGAAGGCGGGUUGCUGGGCUGACACUGACGCUGAACUGCGAAAGCUAGGGGAGCGAACGGG